rnacentral:rRNA from 1 species
ACGUACACUCCUGCGGGAGGCAGCGGUGAGGAAUAUUGGACAAUGGGUGGAAGCCUGAUCCAGCCAUCCCGCGUGCAGGAAGACGGCCCUAUGGGUUGUAAACUGCUUUUAUCUGGGGAUAAACCUACUUACGUGUAAGUAGCUGAAGGUACCAGAAGAAUAAGCACCGGCUAACUCCGUGCCAGCAGCCGCGGUAAUACGGAGGGUGCAAGCGUUAUCCGGAUUUAUUGGGUUUAAAGGGUCCGUAGGCGGACUGAUAAGUCAGUGGUGAAAUCCGACAGCUUAACUGUCGAACUGCCAUUGAUACUGUUAGUCUUGAGUAAGGUUGAAGUGGCUGGAAUAAGUAGUGUAGCGGUGAAAUGCAUAGAUAUUACUUAGAACACCAAUUGCGAAGGCAGGUCACUAAGUCUUAACUGACGCUGAUGGACGAAAGCGUGGGGAGCGAACAGGAUUAGAAACCCCGGUAGUCCCAU